rnacentral:misc_RNA from 1 species
GAAACAAAAUGCUACAUGCUUAUUGAAUAAUGCUCUACAACUUUAUGUCCUCAUAAAUAUAUGUUAAGUUCUAUCAAAUCUAAUCAAUACCAAUCACUAUAUUAUCAGUGCAAUCUCAGGUUUGUUGAAGGAAAUAUAAUCUGAAAAACCAACUCGCCGGUAGCUAUUCAGAUCUUGCAUCUUUCAUAGCUAAAAAAUGAGGAAUCAUUUGUAUAAGUUGUCAAUUUGCUCUUUGUAAAGAGCUGCAACUCUGUCUCUCUUGAUUUUCAUAGUUGGUGUUAGCAAGCCACUAUCAAUCGUGAAAGGUUGAUCAACAACAAGGAUAGGUCCAACUUGAAACGAGCAAUCUGAAGUCCAUUUUCGCAACUCUUCGUGUAAUAGGCCAAGUGCUUUAUCUUUGCUAACUUCAGUGGUUUCAGAAUCAACAAUAGCUGAUCUUUUAGCUGCUAACAGAACCUCUUCCUUGUUUGGUACAAUUAUAGCUCCAAGACGCCGUUGAUCCUGACCAAUGAUAACGAUCUGCUGGAUCAGACUGCUUCCCAUAGCAGCUUCUUCAAUCUCCGAUGGUUCAACAUUCUCACCAGUUGAAAGGACUAUGGUAUCCUUUGCACGGCCUUCAAGGACUAUUGCACCCCCACAAUUACGACUUCUCCCUAUAGAGAGAUCAGGCACAAUCCACCCAAGAUCACCAGUGUUCAGCCAUCCGUUCUCAUCAAUAGCUUGUUUUGUUGCCACCGGAUUCUUGUAGUAGCCUUUCAUUAUAAGUGGCCCUCUAGCUUUGACUGUGCCUUUUGAGCCAGGAGGAAGGACUUCAUCUGUUUCAGAAUUUACGACUUUUACCUCUACAUGCCGAAUGGGGCGACCAAUUGAGCCAAGCACGUUACAUGUAAGACUCCGUGCAGCAAUCACAGGAGCUGACUCUGUCAAGCCAUAUCCAUUCUGAAUCUUUAUGUCAAUUGCCUCGAAGAAUUUGUCUACAUGGGAAGAAAGACUACCACCCCCGCUUAUGCCAGCCUUUGAAAUACCAAUGCCUGAGUGUAUUUUACUGUAAACAAUUUUCUUGGCCAGCAUAUGUAACGGCAAUAGUAUAGCAGCAAUAGUUUGAGCCCACAACCAGUCAAGCAAUGAUACAAUAUAUGAAGGUUGCUUCGUGUCCUUGGUUAAACAUUUCCCCUCGUAAAUCCUUUUCGCCUCCAUGUAAGCCAUACUGAUCCUUAAAAAUAAUUGGGCAAUAUGUUUACGAGCAGCAGAGUUUGAAUUGAUCUGCUUUAUGAUUCCACUGUAUAACGUCUCAUACACUAGAGGAAC